rnacentral:rRNA from 1 species
GACGAACGCUGGCGGCGUGCUUAACACAUGCAAGUCGAACGGAAAGGCCCGGCUCUUGUGGGGUGCUCGAGUGGCGAACGGGGGUGUAACACGUGAGUAUCAUGCCCUCGAGUUUGGGAUAACUUCAGGAAACUGGGGCUAAUACAGGAGAGAAGACACGGCUGCACGGUGGGGGUUGGAAAGAUUGGGUGGUUGGGGAUGGACUCGCGGCUUAUCAGCUUGUUGGUGGGGUAGUGGCUUACCAAGGCAUGGACGGGUAGCCGGCCUGAGAGGGUGACCGGCCACAUUGGGACUGAGAUACGGCCCAGACUCCUACGGGAGGCAGCAGUGGGGAAUAUUGCACAAUGGGCGGAAGCCUGAUGCAGCAACGCCGCGUGCGGGAUGACGGCCUUCGGGUUGUAAACCGCUUUCGCCUGUGACGAAGCGUGAGUGACGGUAAUGGGUAAAGAAGCACCGGCUAACUACGUG